rnacentral:rRNA from 1 species
CUACGGGGGGCAGCAGUGAGGAAUAUUGCACAAUGGGGGGAACCCUGAUGCAGCAACGCCGCGUGGAGGAUGACGCAUUUCGGUGUGUAAACUCCUUUUAUAUGUCAAGAAAAUGACGGUAGCAUAUGAAUAAGCACCGGCUAACUCGUGCCAGCAGCCGCGGUAAUACGGAGGGUGCAAGCGUUACUCGGAGUCACUGGGCGUAAAGGACGCGUAGGCGGGUUGGAAAGUCAGGUGUGAAAUCCUACAGCUUAACUGUAGAACUGCACUUGAAACUUCUAAUCUAGAGUAUGGGAGGGGGAGAUGGAAUUAGUGGUGUAGGGGUAAAAUCCGUAGAUAUCACUAGGAAUACCUAAAGCGAAGGCGAUCUCCUGGAACAUUACUGACGCUAAGGCGUGAAAGCGUGGGGAGCAAACAGGAUUAGAUACCCUAGUAGUC